GCUGAAGAAUAAGCCAGCGUCUAUCAACACUAUGCUUUCAACGGACCAGAUUUAACAUGGAAGAGGCAAUCCCCAAGAAGAGGAGGAGGAUUAGGGCGAGGGAAUGCCGUCGUUUUUCGUCAAAGAAACUAAUAAUAAUCGGGAAGGCUUUUGAACAGUGGAGCGAGCUCAAAGAAUUGAAAAAUGUUGCCGACGCCGUUUCUUCUGGACAGUGUCUCCAUCACCUAUUGGAGCAAUAGGACCCACAGAGUACAGGGUGAUCACCCCCUACUGGCCUCACUAGGCAACAAUUAGCCACUCAAUCAGGAACAUCAGUCCCUCAUUCUGCUCUUGUCCAAAACCCCUUCAGAAUAAGACUCAAGCAUCCAAUCAGCCAGGCCUGUGUUUCACCACCAGGAUGAAGAAAACAUUGUGACCUUUCUCACUGUAUCUCUCUCUGUGAGCUCACAACAAUUUAAUUUAAGGGAUUAAAUGUUCCUAAGUAAAAGGCCAGCAAAACAAGAUCUUUCCAGCACAGAGCAGUUUGCCAAGGUCCUCUUUAGCGUCAGCAGGCCGCGGGGUGAGAGGAGAUGAAGAAGCGUACUCUCCUUCUUUCAACACCUCGGGUCCAUUUCCUGAUUGAGUUUCCAUUGUUCAGGAAACCAGAUAUUCCAGCCUCCCCCACGAGAGCAGAGAGGACCACUACCGAGAGAGUGGACGGAGGAAGAGAGACACGGCGAGAGAGAGGAAAAGAGAGCGAGAGAGGGAUGUGGAGGAAGGACUGCGUGGCACAGUUGUGGUGUCUAGGAGGCCGAACCAGACGGACAAACCGAGGACAGCCUUGAAGGAGGAGAAAAAAGAAAGAAAAGUAAAGAAAAAAAAAACGUCUCUGUGAACUCAUGCUAUGAAUUUGUCCUUCCAGUAAACACAAUCACACGCACACAAGGAAUGCCAAAGUUAAGGGUUUCAAAAGCAUUGCAGUCGAGUAAAACAUAAUCACACACACACUCCUGCCUACAGGAAACAAACAUCACCCCUGAACAAAUCAUGGAAACUUGACCACAGCCCUCCUCUCGGCUCUAACACCAACACCCUUUCCUUUCUGCACACACAUUUCCUAAAAAAAAAAAAAAAAAAAAAAAA